CGCCAGCUGGUACAGCACCUCCGUCUCCUGGCUGCGCCGGCUGCGAGCCGCAUCCCGCGACUUCUCCUUCCGCAGCUCGGUGCUCGACCUGUGGAAAGGAGAUGGCACGCGACAGGUUCCUGCGGAUGAAUAAUUAAGCUUCUGUCAAGUAAAUAUGCUUUAGCUCCAUCACACCCACUUGUAAAGGGAACAGAGAACUAAUGAGAGAUACGUGCGCAGCGACCAUGGACAGGUGGAAGACGGUACAGCUGGUGCUCUUCUCCGCUAGAGAGUUGGCUCCAGGGUUAAAGGCCCUUGCUGCCAACCCUGAAGACCAGCGUUCAAUCCCCAGUAUCCACACUGUGGAAGAGAAGCAACUCCAGAAAGUUGUUCUUUGAUUUACCUGCGCGUGCACACCCCCACAUCCCCUCUCCGCCCCACACAUGUAAAACGUAAUAAAACUAAAA